UCCAUUAUUGAAAUGUCAACAAGGUAUACUAGUGAAAGCUCUUCAUCUUCAAGGAAUCAAGGAUACAUCUAUGGUGAGUUCGUUACCAUUCCAAACUGUCAAUGUGGCCAACGAUUGAAGCUACAAACAUCUUAGACGAAUGAUAAUUUAGGUAGAAAGUAUUGAGAGUGUCGAUUCGAAAAUGGAGGGCAAAUGUGUGGUUUUGUUAGAUAGUAUGAUCUUCCGAUGUGUGCAAGGUCAAGAAGAAUUAUUUAUGGACUAUUGAGAAGGAUUAAUCGAAAUGAAGAAGAAAUAGCAAGGCUUAAAAUGAGGCUAAAAGAUUGUGCUAAGGUUGAUGCGCAAAGAAGCAGUGGUAGUAAUUGGAAAUGUACUAGGAUAGUGAUUGUGAUAUGCAUUUUGUUGUUGGUAGUUAUAACACUCAAUGCACCUAGG